GCCAUCUUGGCGCAAUGGUAGCGCAUCACCUUCCUACGGAAGUAUGAGGUGGGGGUUGCGGGUUCGAUCCCCGUAGGUGGUA
rnacentral:tRNA from 1 species